UUUUAAUUUUUAUAUAUAUUUUUGCCGCAACUUUGUCUUACCCAAUAAGUAUUACACUAAUGAAGGAUCCGCGCGUUACGACAGGACAAUUCUGUAAAAAUAAAAAAUAAAAAAAUAACAAAAAAAGUCAAAAAAUUAUAUUAAAAAAUCAAUUAAAAAAAAGCAAUUAUUGCUGCAAUAAAAAUGUAAGAAUAAAUUAUAAGAAGAAUUAAAAAAAUAGGGUAAAAAUCAGAAGAAUAAUAAAUAAUAAAUAAUAUUUAUAACAGUAAUAAAUAUUGAGGACUAAAAUAAUAUACCUCAUAUUGCAAGUCAGAAAUUAUAACUAAUUAAAGUUUGAAAAUGAAAGUGUCACAUGUCUUAUAGUUUAAAUCAUAAUAUAUUAAAAUUUGAGGAUUAAAAUAUUACUCGUCUUAUAGUUUGAAGGAUGAAAAAUAUAAAUUCAAUCUUUCAAAAUUUUAUUUUGAUUAUUCAAUUUUUCGAUAUAUUAUACUUGAGUCAAUCAAUGAUACUUUGAUUUUAAAAAUUCGAAUGUUUCGCAUAGUUCUACAAAUGUAGAUAGUAUAUUUUAUACGAUUCUCGCAACUAAAUUUUAUAAAAUAUAAAAUUAAUUUAAACUCCAUCAAUUUUUUUUUUUAUUUUUUAAUAUACAAUCUAUAUGUAAAUGCUUAAUAGUAUAAAAUUAUAAUUUAUAUUUAAUACAAAUAAUAUAACCUAUUUAAAAAUUAUUUAUAUAUUUUAAAUUUUUAUAUUAAAAAUAAAAA
rnacentral:lncRNA from 1 species